AGCAGCCGCGGUAAUUCCAGCUCCAAUAGCGUAUAUUAAAGUUGUUGCAGUUAAAAAGCUCGUAGUUGAAUUUCGGGGUCAGUAGGUUGGUCGUGCCACCGGUACGUACUGGUCUCACUGAUUCCUCCUUCCUGAUGAGCUGUAAUGCCAUUAAUUUGGUGUUGCAGGGAAUCUGGACUGUUACUUUGAAAAAAUUAGAGUGUUUAAAGCAGGCUAACGCUUGAAUACAUUAGCAUGGAAUAAUGAAAUAGGACGUUCGAUCCUAUUUUGUUGGUUUCUAGGAUUGACGUAAUGAUUAAUAGGGAUAGUUGGGGGCAUUAGUAUUCAAUUGUCAGAGGUGAAAUUCUUGGAUUUAUUGAAGACUAACUACUGCGAAAGCAUUUGCCAAGGAUGUUUUCAUUAAUCAAGAACGAAAGUUAGGGGAUCGAAGACGAUCAGAUACCGUCGUAGUCUUAACCAUAAACUAUGCCGACUAGGGAUCGGAUGAUGUUAAUUUUUUAAUGACUCAUUCGGCGCCUUACG
rnacentral:rRNA from 1 species